AGUGAACGUUGGCGGUAGGCCUAACACAUGCAAGUCGAACGGCAGCACAGUAAGAGCUUGCUCUUACGGGUGGCGAGUGGCGGACGGGUGAGGAAUACAUCGGAAUCUACUUUUUCGUGGGGGAUAACGUAGGGAAACUUACGCUAAUACCGCAUACGACCUACGGGUGAAAGCAGGGGAUCUUCGGACCUUGCGCGAUUGAAUGAGCCGAUGUCGGAUUAGCUAGUUGGCGGGGUAAAGGCCCACCAAGGCGACGAUCCGUAGCUGGUCUGAGAGGAUGAUCUGCCACACUGGAACUGAGACACGGUCCAGACUCCUACGGGAGGCAGCAGUGGGGAAUAUUGGACAAUGGGCGCAAGCCUGAUCCAGCCAUACCGCGUGGGUGAAGAAGGCCUUCGGGUUGUAAAGCCCUUUUGUUGGGAAAGAAAAGCAGCAGGUUAAUACCCCGCUGUUCUGACGGUACCCAAAGAAUAAGCACCGGCUAACUUCGUG
rnacentral:rRNA from 1 species